AUUUGAAGGGGUUUUGGAAGACAAAGUAAGGAAAGAAAAAAAGAAGAAGCACUUUGAAAGCAUGUUAUAUUAAUAUAUUAGUAUGUUUUGGUGUUAAUUUAAGGUGGCUUUGGUGAUAGAGAGCCAACUUGACAAAGAUUGGCUUGAAACAAGAUUGGAGUGAAUUUGAUGGGAAGGUAUGCAUGAUAUUCUUUCAAGGAAUCGAAGUUUGAGGAGAAGACACAUUUUAAUGAAGAUAUUAGAGCUAUCUACAUCCAGAAGCUGAGGAGUGUAAAGAGAUGGUGAUUCUCAACAAGGCUUGACCCUGUUGAAACAAAUUUUCUUUAAAAUUUCAUUAAAAAAUUUAAACACAAAUUAUUUUUCAAUUACAAAAACCGAGGACAAUACCUUAAAUAUUUUAUUUAUAAUCUCUCACUUGUGACAA